UACGAAGGGGGCUAGCGUUGCUCGGAAUCACUGGGCGUAAAGGGUGCGUAGGCGGGUCUUUAAGUCAGGGGUGAAAUCCUGGAGCUCAACUCCAGAACUGCCCUUGAUACUGAAGAUCUUGAGUUCGGGAGAGGUGAGUGGAACUGCGAGUGUAGAGGUGAAAUUCGUAGAUAUUCGCAAGGACACCAGUGGCGAAGGCGGCUCACUGGCCCGAUACUGACGCUGAGGCACGAAAGCGUGGGGAGCAAACAGG
rnacentral:rRNA from 1 species